GCAUUACAUGGAUGCCUCGACUCUAUACUCCGAUGAAGGACGUGGCCAGCUGCGAUAUGCCUCGGUAAGCCGCUAGGCAGGCGUUAUUAGCCGAGGAUUUCCGAAUGAGGAAACUCCUCCGCCGUCAUGGGCGGAGACCGGAGAGCUUGCUCUCCGGAGGUCACUCUGUGAACUGAAACAUCUCAGUAACAGAGGAAAAGAAAUUAACAAAGAUUCCCUAAGUAGUGGCGAGCGAAAGGGGAACAGGCCAAACCCCAUUGUUUUAUUGAUGGGGGGUUGUAGGGCCCCGAUAUCCGAUUGAUUCUGUAUAAAUGAAUGAGCCUGGAACGGACAGCCAAAGAGGGUGAGAGCCCCGUAAUUGAAAUACAGGAGCACGGUAGGGAGUCCCUGAGUAGGGUCGGACACGUGAAAUCCGGCCUGAAUCUGGGUGGACCACCAUCCAAGCCUAAAUAGGUAUAGAGAUCUAUAGCGAAUAGUACCGCGAGGGAACGGUGAAAAGCACCCCGGAAGGGGGAUGAAAUAGACCCUGAAAUGUAAUGCGUUCAAGGAGCUGGAGCCCUUUAUGGGUGACAGCGUGCCUUUUGCAUAAUGAGCCAAGGAGUUAGUUGUUAGUGGCUGGUUAAGGCAGAGUUAGCCGGAGCCAGAGCGAAAGCGAGUCCGAAUAGGGCGCAUAUAGUCGCUAGCACUAGACCCGAAACCGGGUGAGCUACCCAUGGGCAGGGUGAAGGGCGCCCAACGGCGUCUGGAGGCCCGAACCCACGCAUGUCACAAGAUGCGGGGAUGACCUGUGGGUAGGGGUGAAAAGCCUAUCGAACCCGGAGAUAGCUGGUUCUCUUCGAAAUGCCUUUAGGGGCAGCCUCGUUUUGCAAGAUGGGGGGUAGAGCUACUGUUUGGAUGCGGGGGUCUCCUCGACCUACCAAAUCCUGGCAAACUCCGAAUACCCAUCCUUAGAAAACGGGAGUGAGACGGUGACGGCAAAUCGCCAUCGUCGAGAGGGAAACAACCCAGAUCAUCUGCUAAGGUCCCUAAUGAUAGUUAAGUGUGAAAGGAGGUGUAGGUGCAUGGACAACCAGGAGGUUGGCUUAGAAGCAGCCAUCCUUUAAAGAAAGCGUAACAGCUCACUGGUCGAUUGCACUUAUGCGCCGAAAAUUUAACGGGGCAAAACUAUCUACCGAAGCAAUGAGUGUGCUUUUUAGCACGCAGUAGAAGAGCGUUCUGUUCAGCAGUGAAGCAGUACUGCGAGGUAUUGUGGAGCGGACAGAAGUGAGAAUCUUGGCAUGAGUAACUACUAGGCAGGUGAAAACCCUGCCCGCCGAAUCCCCAAGGGUUCCCACGCAACGUUAAUCGGCGUGGGGUUAGUCGGGCCUAAGGUGAGGCCGAAAGGCGUAACCGAUGGACAACAGGUUAAUAUUCCUGUACCUCAUGGAAAUCGAUCAAGGGUGCCGUUUGAUAGUUUGGCAGGCCUCUGCUUCCUCCUUCGGGAGGCUGGCAUGUCCGUCAGAAAGGACGAUGGUAACCUAGGAGCGGUAUGACGGAGCGGGAACACCAGAGCGUAUGUAUUGACUGUACGUGUAACACGUAAGGCGUUAAUUCCGGUAGGCAAAUCCGCCGGAAGAGCUAAGCGUGGAUGCCAAUUGUCCGCCUCAGGCGGAUGAGUCUGAAUGUUUCUGCUUCCAAGAAAACUGUCGCUUCGAGAGUUUCAUGAGACCGUACCGCAAACCAACACCGGUGGGGUGGUCGAGUAGACCAAGGCGAACGAGUAAUUCCGCGUUAAGGAACUCGGCAAAACAGCGUCCGUAACUUCGGGAUAAGGACUGGCGUUCUCUAUUACGGGGAGCGCCCGCAGCAAAAGAGCUCAGGCGACUGUUUACCAAAAACACAGGUCCCUGCUAAGUCGCAAGACAACGUAUAGGGGCUGAUGCCUGCCCAGUGUCAGAAGGUUACGUGAGGGGGUUUACGCCCUUGAUCUAAGCCCUGAUGAACGGCGGCCGUAACUAUAACGGUCCUAAGGUAGCGAAAUUCCUUGUCGGGUGGUUGGCAAUAACUUGCCCGAAUGACGAGUAAUCGUCACACCAAGGAAUGAGUUGUGUUGAUCAAAACAGUUUAUUAAUUUCUUUGCGCAGCUGAGUUUUAUAUAUUUUAUUGAUCGUAUACCACCAAUAGUGAAAACGUUGCUAUAUGCUGGAAUAUCCGGUGCCGUGAAGUCUUUGUACUUCAUGGCGAGAAUGACGCACUACGCGCAAGCGUGACAAUGUGACGUCUGCGGACAAUCAGCAGGAAACCUUACGUAUGUAAGGGCUCCUCAGAGACUCUACGCAACGCCCCCGCGAAGCCCGAUCUGGGCGAAGUGGGGUGAUGAUAUAGUCCGAUCCCUAUGGCGACAUAGGGUGCAGAGAAGUUCUGCAGUUACACUUCGAGAUGUGCUUUCAGCGCUCCUCAGUGUGACAACACGCGUGGAACGGGAACUCCAACCAAUAUAAUAAGUACAUCGCGAAGGGCGGCUUUGCCGGCCUGGAGCGAUACCUUAAAAGGGAAGGAGAGCCCGUGAGAGGAAACCGUAGGUUUCCUUUCACGAAUAGUGAAGUUCCGACCCGCACGAAUGGUAUAACGGUCUGAGCACUGUCUCAACGCGGAGCUCGGUGAAAUUGCAGUCCCGGUGCAAAUGCCGGGUAGACUACGGAAGGACGAAAAGACCCUAUGAAGCUUUACUAUAAGCUGACAUUGUAUCACUGGUUUCUUUGUGCAGAAUAGGUGGGAGGCUUUGAAGNNNNNNNNNNNNNNNNNNNNNNNACUGGGGCGGUUGCCUCCUAAAAUGUAACGGAGGCGUGCAAUGGUCCACUAGCGCCGGAUGGAAAUCGGCGUUGUCGUAUAAUCGCAUAAGUGGGCCUGACUGUGAGGCUUACAGGCCGAGCAGGGACGAAAGUCGGUGAUAGUGAUCCGGCACCUUUGACACUGAUUUAUUAGUGUCAUUCCACGUGGGUGGGGUGUCGCUCAUCGGAUAAAAGUUACUCUAGGGAUAACAGGCUGAUCGCUCCCAAGCGCCCACAGCGACGGAGCGGUUUGGCACCUCAAUCGGGGUGCUACAGAAGUAAUUCUGUACCAAAAAUUCGGCUUAUAACGGUGAAACCGUCACGAGCAAUUGUGGAAAUUUAUUUGCUCGUCGGCAAUACCGUGGGAAGUCCUCCGCCAACAGCGGAGUGACCCCGUAACGACUGACCCGAAAGGGGAGAGCCUUUCAUAGAGAAAGGCUAACACGCCGAUUCCUGCAACACAUUAAGUCAGAUUACGGUUGUAUACGACUAUACGACCUACGAUCGACUGCAGGAUAAAGAUAUAGUCUGCACCAUACGAAAAUAUGGAUAAAAGUACGAUGUCGGCUCAUCGCAUCCUGGGGCUGAAGAAGGUCCCAAGGGUUUGGCUGUUCGCCAAUUAAAGCGGUACGCGAGCUGGGUUCAGAACGU
rnacentral:rRNA from 1 species